CUUAGCCGAAAAAGGGGGAGUCUGUAAAAUACUUCCCGACACUAUGACUUGUUGCACUUACAUUCCAGAAAACACAGGUCCUAAUGGUAAAGUCACUCUAGCCAUAGCUAAAUUAAAUAGACUCUCAGAGGAGUUAAAGAGAAACUCUGGAGUUACUGAUCCCUGGGAAAAAUGGUUUGGUUGGAUGACUGGUUGGCAGAGAGCUUUAGUCCAGAUUGGUAUUGCCUUACUAAUUUUUCUUUUUUAUUCUCGCUCUUCUCAUUUGUUGUGUCCUCCCAUGCCUAAGGAAAUUCCUGCAGAAAACUGUAAACCAAGCAACACCAACCUUCACUCAUCUGACAAUCGAUGAUCAAGACCUCAUCUCACCCUGUAUUCCGCUACAAACUCUCCCGUAUACUGAUGAAGUGCAGAAAGUCUAGGAAGG